GACGAACGCUGGCGGCGUGCUUAACACAUGCAAGUCGAGCGGAAAGGCCACUUCGGUGGUACUCGAGCGGCGAACGGGUGAGUAACACGUGAGUAAUCUGCCCUUGGCUUUGGGAUAGCCACCGGAAACGGUGAUUAAUACCGGAUACGACCACUCCAGGCAUCUGGUGGUGGUGGAAAGUUUUUCGGCCAGGGAUGUGCUCGCGGCCUAUCAGCUUGAUGGUGAGGUAAUGGCUCACCAUGGCUUCGACGGGUAGCCGGCCUGAGAGGGUGACCGGUAACACUGGGACUGAGACACGGCCCAGACUCCUACGGGAGGCAGCAGUGGGGAAUAUUGGACAAUGGGCGGAAGCCUGAUCCAGCAACGCCGCGUGAGGGAUGACGGCCUUCGGGUUGUAAACCUCUUUCGGUAGGGACGAAGCGCAAGUGACGGUACCUACUAAAGAAGCACCGGCCAACUACGUG
rnacentral:rRNA from 1 species